rnacentral:tRNA from 1 species
GGCAGUGGUGUAGUGGUUUGUUGCUGUUGCUGGAACCAGAGGUUCUGGGUUCGAUUCCCAGAAGCCU